rnacentral:rRNA from 1 species
AAAUUGACACCGUAACUUCGGGAGAAGGUGUGCCGCUGGCGGUUAGUGACUUCGCGUCACGAAGCUGUCGGUGGUCGCAGUGAAAUGGCGGUUGUGACUGUUUACUAAAAACACAGGACUCUGCGAAGUCGUAAGACGACGUAUAGGGUCUGAUGCCUGCCCGGUGCUGGAAGGUUAAGGGGAUAUGUCAGCGCAAGCGAAGCAUUGAACCGAAGCCCCAGUAUACGGCGGCCGUAACGAUAACGGUCCUAAGGUAGCGAAAUUCCUUGUCGGGUAAGUUCCGACCUGCACGAAGGGCAUAACAACAUCCGCACUGUCUCGACCAGGGACUCAGCGAAAUUACAUUGGGGGUGAAGAUGCCCUCUACCCGCGGAAAGACGGAAAGACCCCAUGAACCUUUACUGCAACUUGGCAGUGAUUUUCGGGUUGUUCUGCGUAGGAUAGGUGGGAGGCUUUGAAGCCGGGCUUCCGGGUUCGGCAGAGCCAACGUUGAAAUACCACCCUGAAUAAUCUGGAAAUCUAACCUGCGCCCAUGAUCUGGGCGAGGGACACUGCCUGGUGGGCAGUUUGACUGGGGCGGUCGCCUCCUAAAUUGUAACGGAGGCGUGCGACGGUUCCCUCAGGCUGAUUGGAAACCAGCUGUAGAGUGCAAACGCAUAAGGGAGCUUUACUGCGAGACUGACAAGUCGAACAGUUGCGAAAGCAGGUGUUAGUGAUCCGGUGGUACCACAUGGAAGGGCCAUCGCUCAUCGGAUAAAAGGUACUCUGGGGAUAACAGGCUGAUCGCGCCUGAGAGUUCACAUCGGCGGCGCGGUUUGGCACCUCGAUGUCGGCUCAUCGCAUCCUGGGGCUGGAGCAGGUCCCAAGGGUUUGGCUGUUCGCCAAUUAAAGCGGUACGCGAGCUGGGUUUAAAACGUCGUGAGACAGUCUGGUCCCUAUCUUCCGUGGGCGCAGGACACUUGAGAGGAGCUAUCCAUAGUACGAGAGGACCUGGAUGGACGAACCUCUGGUGCUCCGGUUGUCACGCCAGUGGCAUAGCCGGGUAGCCAUGUUCGGAACAGAUAACCGCUGAAGGCAUAUAAGCGGGAAGCUGGCCUCAAGACUAGGUGUCCCUGACGCAAGUCACUAAAGGCCCCUCGAAGACUACGAGGUUGAUAGGCUCGGUGUGGAAGCGCUGCGAGGCGUGGAGCUAACGAGUACUAAUAGGCCGUGCGACUUGACCUC